rnacentral:lncRNA from 1 species
GCCAUUUCUGAUGGUGUCUAAGGCAAGCUUUGGCAGACCCUCCCAUCGAUCGAACUUACCUGGCCUCUUGGUGAAAUUAUGUUUUGAUCGGAUCACUUGACUAUUCGAGCUGACCCAUGUCAGCUAGGUAAAUCAGUGUGACUGAUUUAGGUGCUCCUAGACCAGCCCUUUUAAUGGUCUCCCUUAAGCUGACUUGGUGAAGCUAGUGGGAGGAUCAUGAUAAGCUGGUUCAUCUGACCUCCUCCUCUAAAUCAAUUAAAUCUUCUAAAAUUAUUAG